rnacentral:rRNA from 1 species
GUGAAUACGUUCCCGGGCCUUGUACACACCGCCCGUCACACCAUGGGAGUGGGUUGCACCAGAAGUAGAUAGCUU